rnacentral:rRNA from 1 species
GAUGAACGCUGGCGGCGUGCCUAACACAUGCAAGUCGAGCGAUUCUCUUCGGAGAAGAGCGGCGGACGGGUGAGUAACGCGUGGGUAACCUGCCCUGUACACACGGAUAACAUACCGAAAGGUAUGCUAAUACGAGAUAAUAUGCUUUUAUCGCAUGGUAGAAGUAUCAAAGCUCCGGCGGUACAGGAUGGACCCGCGUCUGAUUAGCUAGUUGGUAAGGUAACGGCUUACCAAGGCGACGAUCAGUAGCCGACCUGAGAGGGUGAUCGGCCACAUUGGAACUGAGACACGGUCCGAACUCCUACGGGAGGCAGCAGUGGGGAAUAUUGCACAAUGGGCGAAAGCCUGAUGCAGCAACGCCGCGUGAGCGAUGAAGGCCUUCGGGUCGUAAAGCUCUGUCCUCAAGGAAGAUAAUGACGGUACUUGAGGAGGAAGCCCCGGCUAACUACGUGCCAGCAGCCGCGGUAAUAC